rnacentral:lncRNA from 1 species
CUAAACUACAAAAUUUAAAGAAUUUCUACCAAUAUGAAUACAAGGCUAUGUAUAUCUUUAUUUCUCAUUUUUGUUAUCUUUUUCAGAAUAGCUGAUAAUUAUCUUUACUUUUACAUGCUGGAAGAAACUUGGUGUUUUUUUUGGAGGAAACUGGUGAAUUAUGUUCUGCUACAGAAGAGCAUGAAGUUAAUAUAUUGAAGAGGAAACAUCCAAAGUAGUAGAUCUGUGUUGGCUACACUUCUGAUAAUUUUAUAUGUUUACAAUGUCUGGAUCAUUUUAUUUUUAAGUACAAAUGGAUCAAAGUGUCCAUUGAAAGAGUUGCAAUAUUUGUGUCUAAUCAAUGUAAAAUGUUUACAAUGUCAUUGGAAAUACAUAAAGUAGAGUUAUUUUUUUGGUAUUUGAGAUUAAUCAGAAGUACAAUUUUUCUGAAGAUGUUAAUUAAUGCUAUGUAUAGCAGAAGUUAAAUUAAACAAUGUCAAUAGAUUUAAGCAUACAUGAAACAAAUAUGUAAACAACAGUUAUUAUGAAACAACUAUUUAACAAAAAUGAUUUAGAAAUUGUGAGUACUAGAUUAAAAGCGAUAACCAUACAAUAAGUAUAAGAAGAAAUGUAUAUAAUUUCCUAUUUCAUUUUUUUUUUUUAAAUUGAUAGUAGUUUACGUCAAUGAAACAAGUAGUUAUAGUCUUGUAAUUCUUUUUAGAUUUGAAUAUGUGUUUCUGAUUGAGCAUUGUAGUCAAUUUUCAUUAAGCUACCUUAUAGGUUGCACUUUGUAAAUACAGCUUAUUCUCAAAACAUGCCUUUUUUUGGGAGAUAUAGAAUAUUCAUAUAAAAUUAAUUCUGUUUACGUACUGGUUCCAAUACAUGAUCUUUAUGUUUCAUCUUGUAAAGAAAUAACUUGGGGAAAGUUACCAGUAAAUAUACAUAUGUGUUUUGGUCAAAUAUGUGAGAACCCUUAAGUCAAGGUAAGGGUAGGACAUAAUUUUAGUGUAAGUUUAAACUCUUAAGAAGUUCGGGGCAUAUAAAUGUUGAAAAUAUGCCACACAGCCCUAUAUUUUGACCUUGGAAAAAAAUAGUAGUGCAGAUGAACUUCCCAUUCUAAGGCAUAAUUUUUUUCAAAACUUCAUAGUACAAUUGGUACGGUACGAUUUUAGCUGUAAAAGGAGUUCCUAUGGGAAAUUGCAUUGUCGAUAUAUACAGGAAUGCAAUCUAUAGGUAAUGAUACAUUAAUGACAUCAUUUUGUAAACCACAUAUUUAUAUAAGAGACAACAUUU